AAGAGUGACAUGACACAUUAUAAACAAGUUAUAAACGUUUAUGACAUAACUCUUCUUAUAGUAAUUGUCAUUUGGUUUUUGUCAUGACAAAUUAUGGUUGGAGUUAGGGUUAGGUUAGUUCGAAUUGGCGAGCCAGCCAGGAGGGUUGGGUUAGGUCUGUUCGAACUGGCGAGCCAGUCAGGAGGGUUGGGUUAGGUGUGUUCGAAUUGGCGAGCCAGUCAGGAGGGUUAGGUGUGUUCGAAUUGGCGAGCCAGUCAGGAGGGUUGGGUUAGGGUUAGGUGUGUUCGAAUUGGCGAGCCAGCCAGGAGGGUUGGGUUAGGGUUAGGUGUGUUCGAAUUGGCGAGCCAGCCAGGAGGGUUGGGUUUGAGUUAGGGUUAGGUGUGUUCGAAUUGGCGUUGGGGGUUGGGUUAGGGUUCAUGUGUUCAUUACAGUGUCAUGUCACUCUUAUGUAAAUAUCUUCAAGUAGAGUGUUACCGUUCGUAUUUAUUUUCAGGAGACAAAGAAGUUGAAUGUUGAGAAUGUUAUUUUUUUAUUUCAAACGCUUGGCCACACACAUUUUUUAUUUUAAUUUUUAUUUCAAAACGGCCAAAAUUUUCCUCCCUUCCUCAGUCAUUUGAAGCUGCGACCCAGAAGGGAAGAAGAAACCGACACAGCAUGUUUUUUUUUAAUUUUUUAUUUUUUAUUUUUUUGUUCCAAGCAGUGCUGUGAAUCGUACGAGCUGUGAUUGUGUCCUUAUUUUGUCGUGCAUAUGUGGGGUAACUUUGCUAAGUGUGAAAAUAUUUUUGACAAGUGCCACGCCCCGGCCUGUGCGAUGCUUACCAUAAUGUCUAUAAAACAGGAAGUGAUUUCUUCUGGUGGGACGAACACCAGAAAAGAGAGAAUUAUGAUUAUUAUGCUUCUGAUUAUUAUUAUUAUUAUUAUGGUGACUAUUAUUAUUAUUAUUAUUAUUCCUUCUACUGUAUCAUCAUUGCGACCAUGAUUAUCCUCAUAAUCAUUUAAGAGUCUAUUGUUUUGCCAUGUAUUUUUUAUUUUGAGAUUUUUAUUUUAGUUUUCUUUUUAUUAUUAAAGGUAAAAUGAACUAACAGAU